rnacentral:lncRNA from 1 species
AUUUUGUGUAAACUUAUGUCAAGAACAAGCUUAUUGGUUUAGUGGUUAAGUAUUUGUAUUUAAUUUGAUCUUAUGUUUGAGUCCUAGUAUUAGCGUUAUAAAAAUUUUACUAAAGGCUAGGAUGGGGUUGGUAGUUAAUUAAUAAUUUUAACGUCAAAUCCUUUCCUUUUCAUUUUUUUAUUUUAUUCUUUCUUUUCCUCUUUUCUUUUUCUAUUUCCUCUUUCAAUUGAGUUCUUUUUAUUGCAU